rnacentral:rRNA from 1 species
GUCCACGCCCUAAACGAUGUCAACUGGUUGUUGGGAAUUCACUUUCUCAGUAACGAAGCUAACGCGUGAAGUUGACCGCCUGGGGAGUACGGCCGCAAGGUUGAAACUCAAAGGAAUUGACGGGACCCGCACAAGCGGUGGAUGAUGUGGUUUAAUUCGAUGCAACGCGAAAACCUUACCCACCUUUGACAUGUACGGAAUUCGCCAGAGAUGGCUUAGUGCUCGAAAGAGAACCGUAACACAGGUGCUGCAUGGCUGUCGU